rnacentral:rRNA from 1 species
UUGAACGCUGGCGGAAUGCUUUACACAUGCAAGUCGAACGGUAGAGGGGGCAACCCCUUGAGAGUGGCGAACGGGUGAGUAAUAUAUCGGAACGUGCCCAGUCGUGGGGGAUAACGUAGCGAAAGUUACGCUAAUACCGCAUACGAUCUAAGGAUGAAAGCGGGGGAUCGCAAGACCUCGCGCGACUGGAGCGGCCGAUAUCAGAUUAGGUAGUUGGUAGGGUAAAGGCCUACCAAGCCAACGAUCUGUAGCUGGUCUGAGAGGACGACCAGCCACACUGGAACUGAGACACGGUCCAGACUCCUACGGGAGGCAGCAGUGGGGAAUUUUGGACAAUGGGCGAAAGCCUGAUCCAGCCAUUCCGCGUGCAGGAUGAAGGCCCUCGGGUUGUAAACUGCUUUUGUACAGAACGAAAAGGUUUCUAUUAAUACUAGGAGCUCAUGACGGUACUGUAAGAAUAAGCACCGGCUAACUACGUG